rnacentral:rRNA from 1 species
AUCCGAGCGUUAUCCGGAUUUAUUGGGUUUAAAGGGUGCGUAGGCGGCCUUUUAAGUCAGCGGUGAAAGUCUGUGGCUCAACCAUAGAAUUGCCGUUGAAACUGGGGGGCUUGAGUAUGUUUGAGGCAGGCGGAAUGCGUGGUGUAGCGGUGAAAUGCAUAGAUAUCACGCAGAACCCCGAUUGCGAAGGCAGCCUGCCAAGCCAUUACUGACGCUGAUGCACGAAAGCGUGGGGAUC